rnacentral:rRNA from 1 species
UGGGGAAUCUUGCGCAAUGGGGGAAACCCUGACGCAGCGACGCCGCGUGAGUGAUGAAGGCCUUCGGGUUGUAAAGCUCUGUGGAGGGAGACGAAUAAGUGUUGGCUAACAUCCAGCAUGAUGACGGUAUCCCUUUAGCAAGCACCGGCUAACUCUGUGCCAGCAGCCGCGGUAAGACAGAGGGUGCAAACGUUGUUCGGAAUUACUGGGCGUAAAGCGCGUGUAGGCUGCUCUGCAAGUCAGGUGUGAAAGCCCUGGGCUCAACCUAGGAAGUGCACUUGAAACUGCGGAGAUUGAGUACUGGAGAGGGAAGCGGAAUUCUCGGUGUAGAGGUGAAAUUCGUAGAUAUCGAGAGGAACACCGGUGGCGAAGGCGGCUUCCUGGACAGUUACUGACGCUGAGACGCGAAAGCGUGGGGAGCAAACAGG